AUUGAACGCUGGCGGCAUGCUUUACACAUGCAAGUCGAACGGCAGCGCGGGCUUCGGCCUGGCGGCGAGUGGCGAACGGGUGAGUAAUGCAUCGGAACGUGCCCAGUAGUGGGGGAUAGCCCGGCGAAAGCCGGAUUAAUACCGCAUACGACCUGAGGGUGAAAGCGGGGGACCGAAAGGCCUCGCGCUAUUGGAGCGGCCGAUGACGGAUUAGCUAGUUGGUGGGGUAAAGGCUUACCAAGGCGACGAUCCGUAGCUGGUCUGAGAGGACGACCAGCCACACGGGGACUGAGACACGGCCCAGACGCCUACGGGAGGCAGCAGUGGGGAAUUUUGGACAAUGGGGGCAACCCUGAUCCAGCCAUGCCGCGUGCGGGAAGAAGGCCUUCGGGUUGUAAACCGCUUUUGUUCGGGAAGAAAUCCUCUGGGCUAAUACCCCGGGGGGAUGACGGUACCGGAAGAAUAAGCACCGGCUAACUACGUG
rnacentral:rRNA from 1 species